ACCCCUGAGGAACCACUCAAUUCUUAGCUAAUAUGUAUCAGUGGAUAAUUACCCUUGUGUGCCUGCCUUUUUCACGUGAUAAACUUGUGGCAUCAUUUUACACUCAACACUGGGUCCCCUAGUAGGGUUGUCAGAUUCAGCAAAUAAAAAUGCAGGCCCCUUUAAUCUGAACUUUAGAGAAACAACAAAUUUUAUGGAACAUAUUGCUCUUUUCCCUUCCUGUUUCACUUCUUCACUCUCCUACAGAUAUUUCUUGAGGUUGCUUGCAAAAUUAACCACCGACGUUAGAAUCCUUGCCCAGGGCAACCCAGUCUAGGUACCUGCAGUUGAUGAGGGGAUAGGAGGAAGACACUGCUGGACUUUGUCCCUCCCCUCUCAGGUUCAGAUUCUGGAACCUCUCCCAAUUACCCUGGAGUCCCACAUAGAAAAAGCGCAGACUCCAACUCAUCAACACUCACUCAGCUUCCCCCAUCCUUUCUGCCUUCCUCUAGAUCAGCUGCUGCCCUUGCCAACCCCAGUGCUGACCCCUGACCCUGCUUGUGGCCCUCUUUGUUUGGGCCCUUAGUGCUUGACCCCAGAGAUGAACUGACCGCCUUCCAUUUCUAGCAAUACAUCCAUACUUCACCCAGUUAGUCUUCCCUUUGGCCUUCCUGGCAGGGUUAAGUAGCCCCUGCUAUGGCUGCCACCGCCUGGGAAUAAAGCCUCUGGCUCUGCUGACUCUUCAGGAAAUGGACUGGGAAAGGACCAGCUGGACCUUACAUUGGGUCUAAGGGGAGUCUGGCUGCUGGUAUUCCAAAUACCAGAUAAAAAAGAAUGAAAUCAGUGAAGUUAGCACCAGUGACCUGAAAUCAAUGAAGUUAGCACAAUUAACCAAGGCAGCAGAUUGAUUUGUGGAGGGGAAGGCAGGGGUAGAGAACUGUUUUAUCACCAACAUGAACACCUUAUGACUGGUGCAGGGUGUGUGUGUGUGUGUUUACACAGACAGUGGGGACACUGGGCCAGGACCUCAUGCCCAGCUGGCAGCCGCCCUCUGGCCCCGGAGUGGCCGGGGAGGUGCCUGAUGACCGCCUCGCACUCUGAGGUGGGCUGCUCUGAGGUACCUUCUUCAUACUUGUAGCUCUCAGUGACGUCAUCCCGCUCGUCGCUGCGGACGCCCUUGGUGCUGAGGAAGCUGCCGACGGCGUUGGUGGUGCUGUGCAGUCUCUGCUCUUUCCCUCCGUAGACGAGCCAGGACACGCAGUCGGCGUUCACCAUGGAAAAUGCAAAAGGCGUGUCGUACUUGAGGUCCACUUCCCCUUCCUUAAUGGCCCUGACGGACGCAGGCCCGCAGCAGUAGAGGCCUGAGGAGAAACGCGAGAAGCCCCAGAAUCCUGCCUGUGCUGUCGUAAUACUCAUCUAUGACCAGGUUUCCAUCUGUGUCGUGGCCAGAGUCAAAGUUGGUGAUCACACGGGUGGGGAUCCCAAGGCACCGCAUCACUGCACAGAAAAGGCAGAAAAAUCGCCCCAGGGACUGUGGGCUUGGAACACUGCAGACUCCUGGCCUGAAGGCACAUCUGCUGCACACCAGGCAGGAAUUGCCUGAACAUGGGGUUGAUGACAUUUUCCACCUCUAGCCCAUGUCCUGAGUCCACGGAGAAGACUAUGCAAAUGUUGGAAUGCUGGCCGCUCAGACAAGCAUUGCCAGACGGAGCUGACAAAAAGCCGUGGCAUCUCCAGGCCACACCAGCAAGGCAGGAUCCACCCGUCACCUCCACUGGUGAGACUCAGGGGCCUAACUCAAUCUCACUUCUCUCCUGACUGUGGAAUCUCCAUCUUCAACCCAGACAGCUGGCAAUUUCUUCCUUCCUGUUCUUAGGAGCAUUGGCUGAGGCCAUUGGUUUCUCAGGCAAAAUGUUCUGACACUUGGAUUCCCACACACCUUCCCCUAGAUGUGUGAUUUUGGAAGCCUCUCAAAGAAAAUGUCACAGAUGGAGCCAGGCAUGGAAGGAAGCUGGGGUACAAAAACUUAAGGAAGUGAGAGUGUGCCCCUGGGAGGGCAAGCCUGGAAGGGACCGAGGAGCUGUUGUCUUUACCCCUAAGGGGCAUCCAUUCCUUCUGCUGGCCAGCUUCCUCUCUUCAUCCUCUGCCAAAAUUGCUGUGCACUGUCCUGUGAAGUAUAGCCAUGUUGCUGCCAUCAAAUGCCCCAGGGAUCCCUGUGUCCUCAAGUCUAGCAGUGAUGACCCACACAGGUUAGGACUAAUCUUAACUACAAGGUAUACCAGCCAGCCAAAGUGUGAUGUGUUUUGCCUGUGUUAUCUUUAGGACUACAUCACCUGGCAGCUGCAAUUAUCUCCACUGUGAAGACAUCACAUCAGAAGCUGAAAAAAGUCACACAGCUGAUUGGCUGAACCUGUGAAUGGGAAGUGAACCUGUGAAUGGGAGAGCUCUUUCUGUUUCUCUGUGUCAGCAUCAGAAAGUGAGAAGACAGCCCACAGGUGAGAA